GACGAACGCUGGCGGCGUGCUUAACACAUGCAAGUCGAACGGAAAGGCCCUGCUUUUGUGGGGUGCUCGAGUGGCGAACGGGUGAGUAACACGUGAGUAACCUGCCCUUUACUUUGGGAUAACUUCAGGAAACUGGGGCUAAUACCGGAUAGGAGCUCCUGCUGCAUGGUUGGGGUUGGAAAGUUUCGGCGGUUGGGGAUGGACUCGCGGCUUAUCAGCUUGUUGGUGGGGUAGUGGCUUACCGAGGCGUUGACGGGUAGCCGGCCUGAGAGGGUGACCGGCCACAUUGGGACUGAGAUACGGCCCAGAGUGCUACGGGAGGCAGCAGUGGGGAAUAUUGCACAAUGGGCGGAAGCCUGAUGCAGCAACGCCGCGUGCGGGAUGACGGCCUUCGGGUUGUAAACCGCUUUCGCCUGUGACGAAGCGUGAGUGACGGUAAUGGGUAAAGAAGCACCGGCUAACUACGUG
rnacentral:rRNA from 1 species